UCUCACUGCUGAACAGGAUGUAGCCGCUCAUGUUGAUCUUCCUCUUCGCUCCCUCUUUCUUCGACAGGCCUUUAAAGACCUUAGUGGCUGAUGGAUUGGCGCCCCAUUCAGGGAAUUCCUGCCUUGCACACAGUAUUUUCCAGUGGAACUGGAACCUGCUGCGAUCCUGAACGGAUAAAGUGCUUGAUAAAAUAAAUAUUCCCUUAAUGCAAAAUACAUGGAUAGAAAGAACUUUGCAUUAAUACAACCCAUCAAAACAGGCUAUACUGUGUACCUGUAUCGGUGUGUAAGUCAACAUAUCCAAAUCACUGGCUAGCGGCGUCUGUAGCUGAGACAUUCCUUGUCCGUCUAAGCCAUCGCCGCCAUCAUCAUCACCCAGGUCGUCCAGCUCCUCAUCUGUCAUUUCUGCAAACUUGGCCUCCAGCUCUUCAAUCUUCUUGUCCAGCAGAGGAGACGGCUCCUUCUGAGGCACUAUCAGUUUCCUGAAACAGAAACAGAAUUGUAUGGACCCUACCUUAACAAACAUGACGAUACAUUUGCCCAGAAUUUUGCUGACAGGAACUUUGUUGUAGUAAUCACUUUUGAAGACUUCUUUCUCCAGGAAUUUGCGGGUAGCCAGAUGGAAGGUCUCUUGGGCUUGUCUUCCUCAAACUCUUUGGGCAGCUUCUCUUUCUUCUCCUUCUCCACGUCGCUGUGCAGAUGUUUGGUGGUGUAGCUGAG